rnacentral:rRNA from 1 species
GGGGCAGGCAUUUACAGUGCAUUGAUUGAGCACAUGUACAAGAGUUAUCGAUAAACAAUUGGAGGGCAAGUCUGGUGCCAGCAGCCGCGGUAAUUCCAGCUCCAAUAGCGUAUAUUAACGUUGUUGCAGUUAAAAAGCUCGUAUUUGAAGUGUGGGAUAAUGUAUAUUGGAUCUUUUUGUGAAGAUAUAUGUUGUCCCCCCUCCAAUUUCGGUCUGUGGGUAUUAAUUUACUUGCAGUUCGUGUUGGUCAUUUACUGUGAGAAAAUUAGAGUGUUCAAAGCAGGCAUUUGCUUGAAUAUAUUAGCAUGGAAUAAUAUUAAAAGGCUUGUAUGGUCGAUUUAAUUGGUUUGUUCAUAUAAGCAAGAUUAAUAGGGACAGUUGGGGGUAUUCAUAUUCAAUAGUUAGAGGUGAAAUUCUCGGAUUUAUGGAAGAUGAACUAGUGCGAAAGCAUUUACCAAGGAUGUUUUCAUUAAUCAAGAACGAAAGCUAGGGGAUCGAAGAGGCUUAGAUACCCUCGUAGUCUUAGCUAUAAACUAUACCGACUAGGGGUUAGUAGAAGUCAUUGUGUUUCUAUUAGUACCUUAUGAGAAAUCAAAGUCUUUGGGUUCCGGGGGGAGUAUGGUCGCAAGGCUGAAACUUAAAGGAAUUGACGGAAGGGCACCACCAGGAGUGGAGCCUGCGGCUUAAUUUGACUCAACACGGGGAAACUUACCAGGUCCAGACAUAGGAAGGAUUGACAGAUUGAUAGCUCUUUCUUUGAUUCUAUGGGGGGGUGGUGCAUGGCCGUUCUUAGUUGGUGGAGUGAUUUGUCUGGUUAAUUCCGAUAACGAACGAGACCUCCGCCUGCUAACUAGUAUUCAGUAUUUGUAUAUUGUAAACUUCUUAGAGGGACACUAUACUUUUAAGUGUAGGGGAGCUGGGAGCAUAACAGGUCUGUGAUGCUCUUAGAUGUGCUGGGCUGCACGCGCGCGACACUGAUCUAUCCACGAGCCUACUGAUCGAUAGAUUGUGAUCUUUGAAAUAGAUCGUGCUGGGAUGAUGCCUGGACUUUUCUCUGCAGCAUCUCUCUACUAAAAA